rnacentral:lncRNA from 1 species
AAUUUUUUUUUUUUUUGAGUUUGAAAGUGGUUUAUUGACCACUGACUGGUUAUGAGUUUUCUCAAUGGCUCUGGCCUUUCAAAAUUGCAGGUGAAUUAUUUUCCAUGGACAGCCAGCAGGGCACCCCAAGGAGCUGCUCAGAGCUGUAUCCCAGUGUAUCCCUGAGUGACUCCCACCUCUGCCAGCAUUCUCCAUUUGCACUCCUUCUCCUGGGUGUGAUGGUGUCACAGACCCAGGACUGAACCCUGCUCAAACACUGCUUCUAUUUUCAGUCUGCCUCUUCUUGGACAGGAACCUUGGACAAAUCAUCUCCCUGCAUGCUGCGACCUUCCCAGUGAUGAGAUAAGGAUCAUAAUUUUGAUUUAUAUCACACAUGGAUUCUCAACAGGAGUUCAAAAUACUUUUCUGUUCUAUAUCAAGCACUAAAGUAGUGCUGUGGGCUCCAAAACAACCUCUCCUUCCCUUCUUUCUCCUACUUUCUGCUCCACACAAAAAUCCAAAAAGGAGACUGCAAAACUACUUGCCUAAAGAAAUGAAAUAACAGCGAGCAUUUGCCAAAGCACUCCCACCACUUGAAGCAGUUUGUUUUGCAGAACACUCACUGCCACACUUCUGAGUGAGAAAGAAGCAACAGGAGAGCAAAAUCUUUCCUUUAAUCAUUUCUGAAGAGCUUAUCAUAGUAGCACUGAGAUAUUCAUAGCCCUUUGGUUUCUUGCUGAAUGGAAGUGGAAAAAAGAAUCCAUCUUUCCUUUAAAACCCAAAUGAACAAAAUGGGAAGUUUGAACAAACCUAGAAAAUUAAGAGCUGCUUCUACAGUCAUCACUGAUUUCAGCAGGAACUGAAGAUGCUGAGAGAAAUCCCUGACAACAAAUACCUGUUGAAAAAUUGCCAAAAUAUUUAAAAACAUUACAUUGUUAACAAAAGUGAAAAUUAAGAUUAGAAAAUCAUGCUUGCAAACACUGAGGGGCUAUAGGAAGUGAAGUUCAAACAACAGCCCAGUGCUAAAUUCUAAAUUGCCAAACCACAGAAAAUUCAUCAACAGCAAAAUAAAAGAAUCUUUGAAAGCUUUAUUAAAUAAUUC